rnacentral:rRNA from 1 species
AUGCCUCGUCUGAAUGACCUCAGUGUACUGCAGGUUCUUGACCUCGAAGGCUGUCAAGGUCCAUUGUGCCUUGAUGGUCUCUACAAAUUGCUGCUUUUGAGGUACUUGAACCUCAAGGGAACAAAUGUUAGCGAGCUCCCAGAACAGAUUGGACAGCUAAGAUGCCUGGAGACACUGGACGUGAGAUCCACAAAGGUGAAAGAGCUACCUCCUAGCAUUGUCAAGCCGGAAAAGUCAAUGUAUUUACUCGCUGGGAACGCCAAGUUGCCGAGUGGGAUAACCAAGAUGAAUUCAUUGUUGACACUUUCGUGCAGCAAUAUCGGGAAGAGCGCUGAGGCGAACAUCAUUCAAGAGCUCAGUGAAAUGGUAAGCUUGAGCGAACUGGAAAUAUUUUGUAAUGUUACUCAGACGUCUGGGGAUAAGAAUCAAUUCGCAUUUUCGAGCAAUGGAUUUCGUAGUAUUAAGAAGCUUUUGAUAAGGUUCAGCUUGCCAUCAGUGACCUUUGUAACCAGCGGUUUAUCGAAGGUUGAAGUGCUUGAGCUAAAGUUUGAAGAAGGCCUUUCAGAGGAGUCGAGUGGUGUGUCUGGCAAAGAGCAUCUGUCUGGCCUGAAGCAUAUGAUCGUCGAGUUUUCACAGCAUUAUGUGGGUACUGCAGCAAAAUAA